rnacentral:rRNA from 1 species
AUACGUAGGGAGCGAGCGUUGUCCGGAAUUACUGGGUGUAAAGGGUGCGUAGGCGGGACUGCAAGUCAGAUGUGAAAUGCCGGGGCUCAACCCCGGAGCUGCAUUUGAAACUGUGGUUCUUGAGUGAGGUAGAGGUAAGCGGAAUUCCUAGUGUAGCGGUGAAAUGCGUAGAUAUUAGGAGGAACAUCGGUGGCGAAGGCGGCUUACUGGGCCUUUACUGACGCUGAGGCACGAAAGCGGGGGGAGCAAACAGGAUUAGAUACCCUGGUAGUCCACGCUGUAAACGAUGAUGACUAGGUGUGGGGGGACUGAACCCUUCCGUGCCGCAGUUAACACAAUAAGUCAUCCACCUGGGGAGUACGGCCGCAAGGUUGAAACUCAAAUGAAUUGGCGGGG